GGGCCUGUAGCUCAGAUGGAUAGAGCAGCGGUUUCCUAAACCGCGUGUCGGGAGUUCGACUCUCCCCAGGCCCACCA
rnacentral:tRNA from 1 species